AAUUUUGGACAAUGGGGGCAACCCUGAUCCAGCCAUCCCGCGUGUGCGAUGAAGGCCUUCGGGUUGUAAAGACCUUUUGGCAGGGAAGAAAAGGCUCUGGCUAAUACCUGGAGCUGCUGACGGUACAUGCAGAAGAAGCCACGGCUAUCUACGUGCCUGCAGCGGGGGUAAAACGUAGGGUGCAAGCGUUAAUCGGAAUUACUGGGCGUAAAGAGUGCGCAGGCGGUUCGGCAAGAAGGAUGUGAAAUCCCAGGGCUUAACCUUGGAACUGCAUUCUUAACUGCCGGGCUAGAGUAUGUCAGAGGGGGGUAGAAUUCCGCGUGUAGCAGUGAAAUGCGUAGAGAUGCGGAGGAAUACCGAUGGCGAAGGCAGCCCCCUGGGAUAAUACUGACGCUCAUGCACGAAAGCGUGGGGAGCAAAC
rnacentral:rRNA from 1 species